GGCUCAGGAUGAACGCUAGCUACAGGCCUAACACAUGCAAGUCGAGGGGCAGCAUGUCGGUAGCUUGCUACCGAUGAUGGCGACCGGCGAAUGGGUGAGUCACGCGUGUCCAACCUGCCCCCCGCCCGGGGAUAGCCCUUGGAAAUGAGGAUUAAUACCCGAUAGGUGCGCAUUCCGCAUGGCGUGCGCAUGAAACGAGGCGGGGGAUGGGGACGCGUCGGAUUAGCUUGACGGCGGGGCAACGGCCCACCGUGGCGACGAUCCGCAGGGGUUCUGAGAGGAAGGUCCCCCACACUGGCACUGAGACACGGGCCAGACUCCUACGGGAGGCAGCAGUGAGGAAUAUUGGUCAAUGGCCGAGAGGCUGAACCAGCCAAGUAGCGUGCAAGGAUGACGGCCCUACGGGUUGUAAACUGCUUUUGCGGGAGGAUAAAGUGCGCUACGUGUAGCGCUUUGCAGGUAUCCCGUGAAUAAGGACCGGCUAAUUCCGUGCCAGCAGCAGC
rnacentral:rRNA from 1 species